rnacentral:rRNA from 1 species
UGGGGAAUUUUGGACAAUGGGCGAAAGCCUGAUCCAGCAAUGCCGCGUGUGUGAAGAAGGCCUUCGGGUUGUAAAGCACUUUUGUCCGGAAAGAAAUCCUUGGCUCUAAUACAGUCGGGGGAUGACGGUACCGGAAGAAUAAGCACCGGCUAACUACGUGCCAGCAGCCGCGGUAAUACGUAGGGUGCAAGCGUUAAUCGGAAUUACUGGGCGUAAAGCGUGCGCAGGCGGUUUGCUAAGACCGAUGUGAAAUCCCCGGGCUCAACCUGGGAACUGCAUUGGUGANUGGCAGGCUAGAGUAUGGCAGAGGGGGGUAGAAUUCCACGUNUAGCAGUGAAAUGCGUAGAGAUGUGGAGGAAUACCGAUGGCGAAGGCAGCCCCCCUGGGCCAAUACUGACGCUCAUGCACGAAAGCGUGGGGGAGCAAACAGGAUUAGAUACCCUGGUAGUCCACGCCCUAAAACGAUGUCAACUAGUUGUUGGGGAUUCAUUUCCUUAGUAACGUAGCUAACGCGUGAAGUUGACCGCCU